CUUGCUUCUCUGAUGGUUAGCGGCGGACGGGUGAGUAACACGUAGGCAACCUGCCCUCAAGCUUGGGACAACUACCGGAAACGGUAGCUAAUACCGAAUAGUUGUUUUCUUCUCCUGAAGAGAACUGGAAAGACGGAGCAAUCUGUCACUUGGGGAUGGGCCUGCGGCGCAUUAGCUAGUUGGUGGGGUAACGGCUCACCAAGGCGACGAUGCGUAGCCGACCUGAGAGGGUGAUCGGCCACACUGGGACUGAGACACGGCCCAGACUCCUACGGGAGGCAGCAGUAGGGAAUCUUCCGCAAUGGGCGAAAGCCUGACGGAGCAAUGCCGCGUGAGUGAUGAAGGUUUUCGGAUCGUAAAGCUCUGUUGCCAGGGAAGAACGCUUGGGAGAGUAACUGCUCUCAAGGUGACGGUACCUGAGAAGAAAGCCCCGGCUAACUACGUGCCAGCAGCCGCGGUAAUACGUAGGGGGCAAGCGUUGUCCGGAAUUAUUGGGCGUAAAGCGCGCGCAGGCGGUCAUUUAAGUCUGGUGUUUAAUC
rnacentral:rRNA from 1 species